GCCAAAGAGCAAGUUGUAGCUAGUAAAAUGUACUACCUGACUCUGGAGGCUAAUGAUUGUGGAUCCAAAAAACAAUAUGAGGCUAAAGUCUGGGUCAAGCCUUGGAUGAACUUCAUGGAGCUUGAGGAUUUUAAGCCACUGACUGAUAGCCCUAGUACCUCCUCACAAGGUGAAUGAUAAUUUAGUUUGCUAAAGUUUCAAUCCCCACAAGAGAACUUCAUGGCGUGCACAGAUGUGUGGUUUUGUUGCUGCCUUCCACAGUAUAUUUAACGAAGUUCUGUAUAUAUGUGACAAGAAGCAAUUAGAGCAAAGUAGUGAAGGGGAGAAGAAAGAAAGUGCUGGUGCUCCUUCCGAGAAUAGAAUCUUAAAGAAGAAGAAAUCCAAGAAAGAAAAAUCAUCAAAGGAAUAGGAGGAGCAUGAUUAGAAUCAGGAGAAAGGAGACAUUGAAGCUGAAGUGGCAGAUGCAUCUGCAGUUGACGUAAAGGAAAGGAUAAAGAAGGUGGCCUCCAUGAGGUAGAAGAAAUCAAGCAAAGAGAUGGAUGUCGAACAGUU